UACGGGGGGGGCAAGCGUUGUUCGGAAUUACUGGGCGUAAAGGGCUCGUAGGUGGCCAACUAAGUCAGACGUGAAAUCCCUCGGCUUAACCGGGGAACUGCGUCUGAUACUGGAUGGCUAGAGUUUGGGAGAGGGAUGCGGAAUUCCAGGUGUAGCGGUGAAAUGCGCAGAUAUCAGGAGGAACACCGGUGGCGAAGGCGGGUCUCUGGGCCGAUACUGACGCUGAGGAGCGAAAGCGUGGGGAGCAAACAGG
rnacentral:rRNA from 1 species